AGACGAAAACGAGAGUGAGAAUGGAAGUGAGGAUGACAUUGAGAAAGAGGAUGAGAGGGAGGAGUAACAAAAGUGAAAAAAAAAUUCAUCUCAUCUUCUCUCUCAAUCCCAUCUCUACUCUUAUUCUCACUUCCAUUCUCCCUUUUCUCUAUAGAUU
rnacentral:miRNA from 1 species